UACAGAGGGUGCAACCGUUGUUCGGAAUUACUGGGCGUAAAGCGCGUGUAGGCUGCUUCGCAAGUCGGAUGUGAAAGCCCUGGGCUCAACCCAGGAAGUGCAUUCGAAACUGCAGAGCUGGAGUCCUGGAGAGGAAGGCGGAAUUCUCGGUGUAGAGGUGAAAUUCGUAGAUAUCGAGAGGAACACCGGUGGCGAAGGCGGCCUUCUGGACAGUGACUGACGCUGAGACGCGAAAGCGUGGGGAGCAAACAGG
rnacentral:rRNA from 1 species